rnacentral:rRNA from 1 species
GCUUAGCCUUAAACUCAGAUAUUUUAACUACAAGAAAUAUCCGCCAGGUUACUACGAGCGUAAGCUUAAAAACCAAAGGACUUGACGGUGUCUCAGACCCACCUAGAGGAGCCUGUCCUAGAACCGAUAAUCCACGUUAAACCUCACCAUCCCUUGCCAACCCCGCCUAUAUACCGCCGUCGCAAGCUUACCUUGUAAAAGAUUAACAGUAAGCACAAUGGAUUUAUAUCCAGAACGUCAGGUCGAGGUGUAGCUUAUGAGAUGGGAAGAGAUGGGCUACAUUUUCUAAAUCAGAAAAUACGAAUUGAAUUAUGAAACUAAUUCCUGAAGGUGGAUUUAGAAGUAAAAAUAAAGCAGAGGGUUAUUUUGAACCAGGCCCUGAGAUGCGC